GCUGGCAGAGCAACGGACUCUUAAUCCGUGGGUCCAGGGUUCGAUCCCCUGACCACCCA
rfam:Lactobacillus equi DPC 6820 NODE_7, whole genome shotgun sequence.